ACCGGAAUAGAUCAGUUGGGAGAGCUUUGGACUGUAGAUCGAAUGGUCCCUGGUUCGAUCCCGGGAUUUGGCA
rnacentral:tRNA from 1 species